rnacentral:rRNA from 1 species
AGAGUUUGAUUAUGGCUCAGGAUGAACGCUAGCUACAGGCUUAACGCAUGCAAGUCGAGGGGCAGCAUUGGAGUAGCAAUACUUCAGAUGGCGACCGGCGCACGGGUGAGUAACACGUAUCCAACCUGCCGCUUACUCGGGGAUAGCCUUUCGAAAGAAAGAUUAAUACCCGAUGGUAUAAAGAGUUCGCAUGUUCUCUUUAUUAAAGAAUUUCGGUAAGCGAUGGGGAUGCGUUCCAUUAGAUAGUUGGCGGGGUAACGGCCCACCAAGUCUACGAUGGAUAGGGGUUCUGAGAGGAAGGUCCCCCACAUUGGAACUGAGACACGGUCCAAACUCCUACGGGAGGCAGCAGUGAGGAAUAUUGGUCAAUGGACGAGAGUCUGAACCAGCCAAGUAGCGUGAAGGAUGACUGCCCUAUGGGUUGUAAACUUCUUUUAUAAGGGAAUAAAGUGAGGGACGUGUCCCUUUUUGUAUGUACCUUAUGAAUAAGGAUCGGCUAACUCCGUGCCAGCAGCUGC